GGUAAUACGUAGGGUACGAGCGUGUCCCGGAAUAUUGGGCGUAAAGAGCUCGUAGGUGGUUGGUCACGUCUGCUGUGGAAACGCAACGCUUAACGUUGCGCGUGCAGUGGGUACGGGCUGACUAGAGUGCAGUAGGGGAGUCUGGAAUUCCUGGUGUAGCGGUGAAAUGCGCAGAUAUCAGGAGGAACACCGGUGGCGAAGGCGGGACUCUGGGCUGUAACUGACACUGAGGAGCGAAAGCAUGGGGAGCGAACAGGAUUAGAUACCCUGGUAGUCCAUGCCGUAAACGUUGGGCACUAGGUGUGGGGGACAUUCCACGUUCUCCGCGCCGUAGCUAACGCAUUAAGUGCCCCGCCUGGGGAGUACGGUCGCAAGGCUAAAACUCAAAGGAAUUGACGGGGGCCCGCACAAGCGGCGGAGCAUGCGGAUUAAUUCGAUGCAACGCGAAGAACCUUACCAAGGCUUGACAUACACUGGACCGUUCUGGAAACAGUUCUUCUCUUUGGAGCUGGUGUACAGGUGGUGCAUGGUUGUCGUCAGCUCGUGUCGUGAGAUGUUGGGUUAAGUCCCGCAACGAGCGCAACCCUCGUUCUAUGUUGCCAGCACGUGAUGGUGGGAACUCAUAGGAGACUGCCGGGGUCAACUCGGAGGAAGGUGGGGAUGACGUCAAAUCAUCAUGCCCUUUAUGUCUUGGGCUUCACGCAUGCUACAAUGGCUGGUACAGAGAGAGGCGAACCCGUGAGGGUGAGCGAAUCCCUUAAAGCCAGUCUCAGUUCGGAUCGUAGUCUGCAAUUCGACUACGGAAGUCGAGUCGCUGUAUCCGAUCACACGUCGAUCCCCC
rnacentral:rRNA from 1 species